rnacentral:rRNA from 1 species
ACACGAGCGGCGAACGGGUGAGUAACACGUGGGUGAUCUGCCCUGCACUCUGGGAUAAGCCUGGGAAACUGGGUCUAAUACCGGAUAUGACCUCUGGUUGCAUGACCGGGGGUGGAAAGAUUUAUCGGUGCAGGAUGGGCCCGCGGCCUAUCAGCUUGUUGGUGGGGUAAUGGCCUACCAAGGCGACGACGGGUAGCCGGCCUGAGAGGGCGACCGGCCACACUGGGAAUGAGACACGGCCCAGACUCCUACGGGAGGCAGCAGUGGGGAAUAUUGCACAAUGGGCGGAAGCCUGAUGCAGCGACGCCGCGUGAGGGAUGACGGCCUUCGGGUUGUAAACCUCUUUCGACAGGGACGAAGCGUGAGUGACGGUACCUGUAGAAGAAGCACCGGCCAACUACGUGCCAGCAGCCGCGGUAAUACGUAGCGUGCGAGCGUUGUCCGGAAUUACUG